UACGUAGGUGGCAAGCGUUGUCCGGAUUUACUGGGCGUAAAGCGUAUGCAGGCGGACUGUUAAGUAGGAAGUGAAAGGUUGGAGCUCAACUCUAACACUGCUUCCUAUACUGGCAGUCUUGAGUGGCGGAGAGGAAGAUGGAACGACACGUGUAGCGGUGAAAUGCGUUGAUAUGUGUCGGAACACCAAUGGGCGAAAGCAAUCUUCAUGGACGCAAA
rnacentral:rRNA from 1 species